rnacentral:rRNA from 1 species
AAAUUUGAAAUCUGGCGCAAGCCCGAGUUGUAAUUUGUAGAGGAUGCUUCUGGCCAGCGGCCGUUCUAAGUUCCUUGGAACAGGACGUCAUAGAGGGUGAGAAUCCCGUAUGUGACCGGCGCGCAGCCUUUACGUAGCUCCUUCGACGAGUCGAGUUGUUUGGGAAUGCAGCUCUAAAUGGGAGGUAAAUUUCUUCUAAAGCUAAAUACCGGCCAGAGACCGAUAGCGCACAAGUAGAGUGAUCGAAAGAUGAAAAGCACUUUGGAAAGAGAGUUAAAAAGCACGUGAAAUUGUUGAAAGGGAAGCGCUUGCAACCAGACUUCGUAGCGAUGUUCCGCUGGUCUUCUGACCGGUCUACUCAUCGUCGCGAGGCCAACAUCGUCUGGGCCCGCUGGAUAAGACCUAAGGAAUGUGGCUUCCCUCGGGAAGUGUUAUAGCCUGUGGUGAUGCAGCGUGGCUCGGGCGAGGUCCGCGCUUCGGCAAGGAUGUUGGCGUAAUGGUUGUCAGCGGCCCGUCUUGAAACACGGACCAAGGAGUCUAACAUCUAUGCGAGUGUUCGGGUGUCAAACCCCUACGCGUAAUGAAAGUGAACGGAGGUGGGAAGCGCAAGCUGCACCAUCGACCGAUCCUGAUGUCCUCGGAUGGAUUUGAGUAAGAGCAUAGCUGUUGGGACCCGAAAGAUGGUGAACUAUGCCUGAAUAGGGUGAAGCCAGAGGAAACUCUGG